UGGUGGUGAUUGGUUUAGAAAUAGCUGCA
rnacentral:piRNA from 1 species